rnacentral:sRNA from 1 species
UUCAUUUCCCCGAAGGCGUCGCGGCCUGAGGAGACCCGUUGGGUCCUCAGCGUCUUGGCGGCAGUUGGUGGAACCGGAGCUUCGAGUCCGUCCCCGGUGCUGCCUGCGCGUUCACCUGAGUCUCGCUGGAGCUCUUCUCGCCCGCCCACCUCAUCUCAACCCACUUUCCGCGGGGAGCGGCACCAAGCUGGGCCUUCCUCGGAUCAGGCGUCCCCUGAAGUCGCCACGCCCCUCUGCGUCCCCCUUCGGUCCCGCUAGGACCCCGUCCGGGCUGCCGUCGCCUCGUCGCUAUGGCGCCCACCAUCCAGACCCAGGCCCAGCGGGAGGAUGGCCACAGGCCCAAUUCCCACCGGACUCUGCCUGAGAGGUGAGCCCCACUGUGCUUUCCCAGGAGCGGUGGGGCAGUGGGGCUGGGAGCAGAGGUGAGGCAGCGGGGGCCCACUUUUGAGCCACUAAUGUUCCUAGGUCUGGAGUGGUCUGCCGAGUCAAGUACUGCAAUAGCCUCCCUGAUAUCCCCUUCGACCCCAAGUUCAUCACCUACCCGUUCGACCAGAACAG